GAUGAACGCUGGCGGCGUGCCUAAUACAUGCAAGUCGAGCGAACAGAUGAGGAGCUUGCUCCUCUGACGUUAGCGGCGGACGGGUGAGUAACACGUGGAUAACCUACCUAUAAGACUGGGAUAACUUCGGGAAACCGGAGCUAAUACCGGAUAAUAUAUUGAACCGCAUGGUUCAAUAGUGAAAGACGGUUUUGCUGUCACUUAUAGAUGGAUCCGCGCCGCAUUAGCUAGUUGGUAAGGUAACGGCUUACCAAGGCAACGAUGCGUAGCCGACCUGAGAGGGGGUUCGGCGACCCAGGAAAUGCGACACGGUGCACACUCCUCCGGGAGGCAGCAGUAGGGGGUCUUCCGCGAUAGGCGCAAGCCUGACGGAGCAACACCGCGUGAGUGAUGAGGAUGUUCGGGUAGUAAAACUCUGUUAUUAGGGAAGAACAAAAAUGUAAGAAAAAAUGCACGUCUUGACGGUGCCCAAUAAGAAAACCCCGGCUAACUACGUG
rnacentral:rRNA from 1 species